rnacentral:rRNA from 1 species
AGAGUUUGAUCAUGGCUCAGGACGAACGCUGGCGGCGUGCCUAACACAUGCAAGUCGAACGGGACUGGGGGCAACUCCAGUUCAGUGGCGGACGGGUGCGUAACACGUGAGGAACAUGACUUUCGGUGGGGGAUAGCCGGCCCAACGGCCGGGUAAUACCGCGUACGACCUCUCGGGGACAUCCCCGGUUGGUGAAAGCAGCAAUGCGCCGAAAGAGUGCCUCGCGGCCUAUCAGCUAGUUGGUGGGGUAAUGGCCCACCAAGGCGACGACGGGUAGCUGGUCUGAGAGGAUGGCCAGCCACAUUGGGACUGAGACACGGCCCAGACUCCUACGGGAGGCAGCAGUGGGGAAUAUUGCGCAAUGGGCGAAAGCCUGACGCAGCGACGCCGCGUGUGGGAUGACGGCCUUCGGGUUGUAAACCACUGUCGGAAGGGACGAAUGCCCCGCAAGGGGAGUGACGGUACCUUCAAAGGAAGCACCGGCUAACUCCGUGCCAGCAGCCGCGGUAAUACGGAGGGUGCGAGCGUUGUCCGGAAUCGCUGGGCGUAAAGGGCGCGUAGGCGGCCUGAUAAGUAGGGGGUGAAAUCCUGCGGCUUAACCGCAGGGCUGCCUUCUAAACUGUCGGGCUCGAGCACAGUAGAGGCAGGUGGAAUUCCCGGUGUAGCGGUGGAAUGCGUAGAGAUCGGGAAGAACAUCAGUGGCGAAGGCGGCCUGCUGGGCUGUUGCUGACGCUGAGGCGCGACAGC